rnacentral:rRNA from 1 species
UGCAUAGGCGGGUUUCUAAGUCAGAGGUGAAAGCCUGGAGCUCAACUCCAGAACUGCCUUUGAUACUGGAAGUCUUGAGUAUGGCAGAGGUGAGUGGAACUGCGAGUGUAGAGGUGAAAUUCGUAGAUAUUCGCAAGAACACCAGUGGCGAAGGCGGCUCACUGGGCCAUUACUGACGCUGAGGCACGAAAGCGUGGGGAGCAAACA